rnacentral:rRNA from 1 species
UACGGAGGGUGCAAGCGUUAUCCGGAUUCACUGGGUUUAAAGGGUGCGUAGGUGGGCAAGUAAGUCAGUGGUGAAAUCUCCGGGCUUAACCCGGAAACUGCCAUUGAUACUAUCAUUCUUGAAUAUUGUGGAGGUAAGCGGAAUAUGUCAUGUAGCGGUGAAAUGCUUAGAUAUGACAUAGAACACCAAUUGCGAAGGCAGCUCACUACACAAUCAUUGACUCUGAGGCACGAAAGCGUGGGGAUCAAACAGG